rnacentral:rRNA from 1 species
AGAGAGAGACAUGCGCGCAUAUCAAUAAGCGGAGGAAAAGAAACUAACUAGGAUUCCCUCAGUAACGGCGAGUGAAGCGGGAAGAGCUCAAAUUUGAAAUCUUCAAGGUUCUACCUUGACGAAUUGUAGUUUAAAGAAGUGUUUUCUGUUGGAGUUUUGGUAAAAGUUCUUUGGAAUAGGACAUCAUAGAGGGUGAGAAUCCCGUAUUUGACCAUUACUUUCAGCUUUGUGAUACACUUUCAAAGAGUCGGAUUGUUUGGGAAUGCAGUCCAAAAUGGGUGGUAAAUUUCAUCUAAAGCUAAAUACUUGGCGAGAGACCGAUAGCGAACAAGUACCGUGAGGGAAAGAUGAAAAGAACUUUGAAAAGAGAGUUAAACAGUACGUGAAAUUGUCAAAAGGGAAGCGUUUGACACCAGUGUUGUUUUCUCGAAAAUCAAUUAAAAAGAGUUAGGAUUUUGUUGUGUAUUGACCUUAUCAGCUUCUGCACUUCAUUUUCUUGUCUUUUUUAAUGCACUUUUCGUUUAACAAGUCAACAUCAAUUUCUUUUGUUGUAAAAGGGUCAUUGGAAGGUGGCUUUCUUUUCGGAGAAAGUGUUUAUAGCCUUUGGCCUCUGCAAUCGGAGAGAUUGAGGUCUGCAGCGUAGAUCCUUCGGGGUUAGAUACAUUUGUGCUAAGUUAUAGCCUUUCAUAGACAACUUGUUGACUAUGAUCAGUCAUGUAGCUUACUCGCUUAUGCUAUUUUACCUACGCUUAGGAUGUUGAUGUGAUACUGCGAGCA